GAGGGUAAUAGGAAAGCAAAACAGGUGGGCAGUGAGUGGUAAGUGGAGGAGGGAGGAGGGAGGCUCGGGAAGUCGCUCACGCCGUUGCUGCUGGAGAGGAAGUGCCGGCGGCGGCGGCGCCCGUAGGUGGCGGACGACGAGAGGACGCGCCGGCCCGCAGGCUGCCGAGGUAGAGGAGCGAACACCGGCUCGAGCUCAGCGGGAGCUGCAGCCAGCUGGGCGAGGUGGCGCGCCGGUACCUCGACGCCGACGAGCGGUUCGUGUUGGGCCUGUUGGCGUAGGCGUAACGCCGCAGGCCCCGUCACGCCGGCGAGCACCGCGACGACAGCGUGUGGCUGGGUGACGACGUCCUCGUGCCCCAGUGCCGUGACGAGUCGGAGAGGUAGACGCUGCUCUUGUUCCGGUAGCACCAGCUCCGGCCGCGCUAUGCUGGCGAGCACACGCUCGAGUUCAGCCGGCGCAGCGGGUGCCGGUCCCUCUUGCGGCGGACGCGCGACGAGGCGGAGAGGGUCGAGCUGCCGCGGCGGCGGCGGCGCCAGCCGGCGCACCCUCGGCAGCGCGACGAACACAGGGAGGUGCUCCGGCCGACCCGUGCGUCCUUCUUCCUGCGGCGGUGCCGCGAGAUGCGCGAGACGUCGCCCCGCGCGCUCUUGGCGGAUGCACGCGGGGAACGACCUGGACCUCAGGUCGUACCACCUAUUCCGGAGGAUGCACGAGGUGAGGGACCACCCGAAACGGUUCCCGGCGAGGCGGUGGCACCUCCUCCCGCUGUAGGGGCAGGACCACCUCUACCACCUCCAGCCCUGGAGUGUCGUCUUCCUCUAGUGGUGCGAGAGGGAGGAGGUCUAAACACUGCUGUUGCGCCGGAUGGUGUGGUACCAACGGGCGCUCCCGCGGUAGGGAGGGGAGCAGCGGGAGAGGUUCAGGAGGAGGCACGCGCGGGGUUCGAGUUUUGGUUACGACUCCGCGAUCAGCUCUACGAUGCCGUUGGCGCCUCGCCCUCGGACGCGCGAUGAUCCGGCCGCCGCUAGCAACGCCGCCCACUAUGGUAAGUCAAUGGUUGAGCUAGACCUGUUCGGAGACUAGGUCUUCUCCUAUGUUAGGAGAUGAAGAAGGUGCGGAAGUGGUGCCUAGGUCCUCCAAUGACAGGGGACCGACGAGGUACUCCAGCGGUAGCAGCAGAGGAAGGAUAGGUGGGUCGUCGGUCACAGGCCUGAGGAGGACGUGCUACUACACGUUCAGGGUACACGGUCCUUAUAUCUCGAACCCUAAACCCUUAGUACAGUCCCCAUUCCUGUGCACUGAACUUCGUAAGACUCCAUUUGAGAUAGCAAGUGAAUUUAUACAUUCUAGUGGAGGGACAAGAAAAUAAGCCUUGACCGAUAUCAAAAACGACAGGUCCUAUUCGUACCGAUCUAUAGUACUUUUUGAAUAAAGACAGAUAAAACAUAUUCACAUUAAAUGGUAUUCUUUAUUAAGACUAGAUACAACAAAUUGUAUUAGAAUUAAAGAGGUAUAACACCUACUCGUGUUACUUGUCAUGCAGAUGUUAGUUUGAACCUAAUUGUACUGACGUACUUCUGACUGAUCCUCCUUAACAACACGAACACCUUGUAGCUGGAAACAUCUCGGUCAGUACAAUUGUAUGGGUAUACUACAGGAACCUUAAAAUAGAUGCGGUCAUCUGGUAUGUCUUACCAGUGCAGAACCGACAAACCCAUAAACAACUGAAGGGUUGUGGUUUCUGACCUUCUCCUGAACCAUUCUCAGUCGUAUUAUAUAAAACAAAAUAAAGAAAGUAAGUCUGAUAUUUUCCUCAUACAUAUACAUCAAUGAGGGUAACGACGAUUGUUAUCGAAGAAAGUACCUCCUCCAACAUCGGGAUACGAUUGCCAUGAAACGUUUUUAAAGUCGGUAAAUUAUACGUAACACGCCUCCUUAUAUUGGUAAACGUAACCGUCUCUGGGGGUGAAAACUUGGAAAAGACAAGUUUGACGUCUAGAGAACUCAAAGUCAUUUUAAGUCAUGACAAAAAGUCACAUGAGACAAGACCGUUUUGUUAUUAAAUCAUUUCCUCAUGUAGUAGAAAAACAUAACACUAAUAUAAGUACUAUAAAACAACGUCUUUUAUUUCUCCAACAUUCUAUACACCGUGUUACGUUAUUAUCUGUUACUUUAGAACCGAUGUCUCCACGCUCGGCGCACAGAGAUUUGCGUAAAAGAAGGGACAACUAGUUGAAAUAAAGUCGAAUAGUAAUCCACGUGUAUGAGUACUCUAAUAGAAAACCGAUCUAAAAUUAAUAAAUCUAAAAGGACACAACAAAGGAGCCUAUACGAACGACAAUGGUUUUACGCAACUACCAUCCACUUUACAUAAAAUGUGUAUUUAUGAAGUUGAUAGGAUUAAUCCAUCCUAUAUACCCUUUGUUGUACGUCCUUAUGUUCGUAACUUUCUUUACAAGUUAUACACAGUAGGAACUAAAUAUAAACACUAUGAAAAGUCUUAGGAAGUCGUCCGAAAACAAUUAUGAAAAAUACCUUUAACAUCUUGUCAUAGAUAUUCUUUCCUUCCUUGUUUUGAUACAUACAGAUGUUUGACUACAAUCUUGUAACACAUCCAAGACCAGUGGGUAGUCGAGUCGAAGAACCUGAUAAUAUCAUCUUUUACAGUAUCAUUCGACCGUAAGUACCGUUUAUCGGACUAGUAAUAUGUUUUCAAACGAAACAAGUGUCGGCUAAUUAAAGUAGUCAUUCUUAAAUGAUUCUGCUGCUACCGUUAUUUAACAAAACCGUGUACUUUAUCGUUCUGUUUCCUUUCUGAUAUACCGUACACUUGGCUGUAACUUCUUUACAAGUCAUCCGCAUUACAUCAUCAACAAGACGAAAGCAAGGUAACUCUUACUUGUAUUUAACAUGACCUCACACAUACUAGUUUAACACGACUUACGAACCUAUGACCAUCGUCUACUAACUGUCUACUUAUUAAAACAUUAGUUAUCACCUAAACCAAGACACUACCUAAUUCGUACGAAAAGAAUGUCGUUUCGAAGUUCCUGUCUAACACACAGACUAAAUAGAUCGCCUACAAAGAAA
rnacentral:rRNA from 1 species